CAGAUAUAGUUCAUUGGUAGAACGUCAGCUUCCCAAGCUGAAGAGGCGGGUUCGAUUCCCGUUAUCUG
rnacentral:tRNA from 1 species